GGCCUACGGGGGGCAGCAGUGGGGAAUAUUGCACAAUGGGGGAAACCCUGAUGCAGCGACGCCGCGUGAGUGAAGAAGUAUCUCGGUACGUAAAGCUCUAUCAGCAGGGAAGAAAAAAAGUCUUUGGCUUUGGACGGUACCUGACUAAGAAGCCCCGGCUAACUACGUGCCAGCAGCCGCGGUAAUACGUAGGUGGCGAGCGUUAUCCGGAAUGAUUGGGCGUAAAGGGUGCGUAGGCGGCCUGCUAAGUCUGGAGUGAAAGGUACCGGCUCAACCGGUACAGGCUCUGG
rnacentral:rRNA from 1 species